rnacentral:rRNA from 1 species
CCUACGGGUGGCAGCAGUGAGGAAUAUUGGUCAAUGGGCGCGAGCCUGAACCAGCCAAGUCGCGUGAGGGAUGACGGCCCUAUGGAUUGUAAACCUCUUUUGUCAGGGAGUAAAAGACGCCACGUGUGGCUUUUCGAGUGUACUUGAUGAAUAAGCAUCGGCUAACUCCGUGCCAGCAGCCGCGGUAAUACGGAGGAUCCGAGCGUUAUCCGGAUUUAUUGGGUUUAAAGGGUGCGAAGGGGGAAGAUUAAGUCAGCGGUAAAAUUUGGGGGCUAAACCUUUUCGUGCCAUUGAAACUGGUUGUCGUGAGUGAACGAGAGGUAUGCGGAAUGCGUGGUGUAGCGGUGAAAUGCAUAGAUAUCACGAAGAACUCCGAUUGCGAAGGCAGCAUACCAGCGCUCAACUGACACUCAUGCACGAAAGUGUGGGUAUCGAACAGGAUUAGAUACCCCAGUAGUC